AAGGUAUGAUCCAUGGAUCAGGAAACCAGCCUUCCCUAGACAUGGAAUCUGCUGGCACCUUGAUUUUGAACUUCCCAGACUCCAGAACUACUCCUGCCCCUGCCACGAGAACACACCCUUUCCAGUUUGCUGGAGAAAUAUAAGAGAAGUCCAGUGAAAGAGAGCUGAGUUUCCCCAAUGAUGCCAUCAAGAUGAACUAACUACAGUUAACCAGCCAGCUGAUAGCAGAUGCAUGAGUGAGCCCAGCUGAGAGCAGGCUCUUGGUCAGAGGGCCUCAGUUUCCUGCUGACUGUUGGCCAGAGGCUAACCUCAGUUUCUUGCCACCUGGCCACUUCUACAUAGCAGUCUGCUUCAUCAAAAACAGCAAGAGAGAGAGAAUCUGCAAGGAAGAGGAAAGUCAGUCUUUUGCAACUUAAGGACUGAAAUGACAUCCCAUCACUUUUGUUACAUUCAAUUCAUUAGAAACAAGUCAUUAAGUCCAGGGCAUACUCAAGGGAAAGAUAUCACACAAGGGUAUGAGAUUAUAUAGGAGGCAGGGAUCAAUGGGGCCUGUCUUAGGAGUCCAUGUAUCAUAGAGUGGUCAGUUGUUAAUAGUUUAAUAUUGUCUCUCUUUUAUGGAAAUAUUUAAAAAGAUUUUGCUUAUCUAUCACAUUUCAUUACAUAUACUAUGCCAUUACAGCCAAAUGUGAAUAUUGUAAGGUACAUAUGCAAAAAAAUUACAAAAAAUUUGCAUGACAUGGUUAAGCAUCCUCUCUAGAGUACUCUAGCAGGGUUGGUGUCCAACUGUGUUGGGAGCUGUUUUCAGAUUUUGCCCUACCUGUACUUUGCUGUCAUCUAUGAAAAGAAAAAGUGGGUUAUAUCUUUCCGCUGUUCUGAAGUAUGCAUCAAAUAUGAUAAAGAAAGCAAUAAAACUGAGAAAUAAA
ensembl:lncRNA ASMER1 adipocyte associated metabolic related lncRNA 1